UCCUUGGUAGCACAGUCGUCCAGGCCGGU
rnacentral:sRNA from 1 species